GCACUAUUCUAAUACAGUUUAUGAAUUGAUUAAAGAAAAAAAGAAAGAGAAAGAAAAUUAAAAAAAAAAUCAUAUAAGAGCAUUCUUAUAGAAGUAUGAGUUAUUAUUAUUAUUAUUCUUUAAAUUAGAGUAUAUUCAAUCAAAGACUAUGACACUCACCUGAGUAUUGCUCAGGGUUUUCCCAGUACUAAUAGCUAUAAUUACAAAAACCUCUUCUUCACUUGCAAUACAGAAUUCCAGCCCAGAAUCAAUCAACAAUUAAAAGAACUCAUUAUAAUGUUCAAUUCAGACAAGCUUUUCAAAUCAACAAAUGAAAGAUAUAAAUAAUGAAUGGUACAAGGAAAUUAAAACAAAGAAGAUAUUGUGAAUAAACAAAUAAAAAUAAAAAUAAACAUAAGAAAUAAAAUAAAAAUAAAAACAAUAAACUCUAUACACAGAGUUUUUACAAUUCAGAGUGUUUAAAC
rnacentral:sRNA from 1 species